CGCAUUUUGCACAUAAGAUCAAUAGUUUCAAUACUGCUCCUAAGAAGUUGUUGGCAUCAGACUCCCGGUUGCGUCCUGAUAGAUACGCUUUAGAGAAGGGUGAUCUAUCCAAAGCAGGGUCAGAAAAGAGCAGUUUGGAAGAGAGGCAAAGAGCUGAAAAGAGAACUCGAGAUGCCAAAGGAGAGAGUUUUGUGCCCAGAUGGUUUGAUUUAACCGAAGAGAUUACAUCCACACCGUGGGGUGACUUGGAAAUCUACCAAUAUAAUGGUUUAUACACCAAACAUCGGGCCGAGAUUGAUAGUUCUGGUUCAAGCAGCAACGACGAGGUUGACAAUAAAUCGAUUGAAUUUAACCCGUGGCAAUAUGGGAACUUGUCAACAGAGUAGGGCUCUCCUCAUCUAUGUUUUGCUUGCUUGGCUUCUUCAGAUAGUUGGUAAUAUUUUUCAGCAUUUGAUAUUAUAGUGGUGGUCUGUUGUUUGUUUAUAUACAUAGAGCUUUUACAUUUUGUAACUUUGUUAUCAAUCUUUG
rnacentral:misc_RNA from 1 species